rnacentral:rRNA from 1 species
GACGAGCGGCGGACGGGUGAGUAAUGUCUGGGAAACUGCCUGAUGGAGGGGGAUAACUACUGGAAACGGUAGCUAAUACCGCAUAACGUCGCAAGACCAAAGAGGGGGACCUUCGGGCCUCUUGCCAUCAGAUGUGCCCAGAUGGGAUUAGCUAGUAGGUGGGGUAACGGCUCACCUAGGCGACGAUCCCUAGCUGGUCUGAGAGGAUGACCAGCCACACUGGAACUGAGACACGGUCCAGACUCCUACGGGAGGCAGCAGUGGGGAAUAUUGCACAAUGGGCGCAAGCCUGAUGCAGCCAUGCCGCGUGUAUGAAGAAGGCCUUCGGGUUGUAAAGUACUUUCAGCGAGGAGGAAGGCAUUGUGGUUAAUAACCACAGUGAUUGACGUUACUCGCAGAAGAAGCACCGGCUAACUCCGUGCCAGCAGCCGCGGUAAUACGGAGGGUGCAAGCGUUAAUCGGAAUUACUGGGCGUAAAGCGCACGCAGGCGGUCUGUCAAGUCGGAUGUGAAAUCCCCGGGCUCAACCUGGGAACUGCAUUCGAAACUGGCAGGCUAGAGUCUUGUAGAGGGGGGUAGAAUUCCAGGUGUAGCGGUGAAAUGCGUAGAGAUCUGGAGGAAUACCGGUGGCGAAGGCGGCCCCCUGGACAAAGACUGACGCUCAGGUGCGAAAGCGUGGGGAGCAAACAGGAUUAGAUACC